rnacentral:lncRNA from 1 species
GUAUUUUACAGCACUGCUGAAUAGGUAUUUCAGAGAUGCAAAAAGAGAACACCUGUCUCUGCAGCACCUAAGGGAAUGGCAUGAAGCUGUAUCAGGUUGUACAUGUGCUGAGUGUUGUUGACUUGUUAAUGUGGUGUUGCCUUCAAAGACAAGCUGUAAACUGACACGGAGAAUUUAUCACUGGGCAGAUUGACUCAGACAUCCCAUCCAUUCACAAAGCUUGCAUAUGACAAUGGAAGGAAGUUGUCUUGGGAAGGAGGAGAAUCUCAGCCACCUACAAGACAGGUCAGAAGGGUUAUACUUAAUAUAAGAGGGGAAUAUUUAAACUGGUCUCACAUAAAUGUGAAACAACACAUUUAAAAAAUUG